rnacentral:rRNA from 1 species
CCUACGGGAGACAGCAGUGAGGAAUAUUGGUCAAUGGUCGGGAGACUGAACCAGCCAAGCCGCGUGAGGGAGGAAGGUACAGAGUAUCGUAAACCUCUUUUGUCAGGGAACAAAGGCGGGGACGUGUCCCCGGAUGAGUGUACCUGAAGAAAAAGCAUCGGCUAACUCCGUGCCAGCAGCCGCGGUAAUACGGAGGAUGCGAGCGUUAUCCGGAUUUAUGGGGUUUAAAGGGUGCGCAGGCGGUCUGUUAAGUCAGCGGUCAAAGCCCGGGGCUCAACCCCGGCCCGCCGUUGAAACUGGCAGUCUCGAGUUGGAGAGAAGUAUGCGGAAUGCGCGGUGUAGCGGUGAAAUGCAUAGAUAUCGCGCAGAACUCCGAUUGCGAAGGCAGCAUGCCGGCUCGACACUGACGCUGAGGCACGAAAGCGUGGGUAUCGAACAGGAUUAGAUACCCUUGUAGUC